rnacentral:tRNA from 1 species
AUUCAAAUAGCUUAUAUAGAGCGUGACACUGAAGAUGUUAAUGAGAUUUUUUUUUAAUCUUUGGAUA